AAACCCAUAAACAGAGAACAAACUGAUGGUUGUCAGAGGGGGUGGGGGAGGGACAAAAUGGCGGAAGGGGAGCAGGAGGUUAGGCUUCCCGUUCUGGAAGGAAUAAGUCAUGGGGAAAGGUGUUGCAUAGGGAGUAGAGUCGAUGGUACUAUGACCCUUGUUUGAUGACAGAUGGUAGCUACACUUGUGAGCACAGCAUAAUGCAGGGCUGUCCGCUCACUAUGUCGUCCACCUAAAAACUAAUGUAACGUGUGUCAACUAUACUUCCAUUAAAAAAAAAAAAUGCACGGCCCCUUGCCUCUCCUGUGGUUCCCUGGACCUCAGAGCAAGUUCAGACUCUAUCUAGAGACAGUCCAGCCCGCCCGCCCUGCCUGCAGGUCAGCCACAAACCCUCUCUGCUCUGCCAGGUUGGGCUGGCUCUUGCAGGCGUCGGCUCUCCUCUGUUCUGUCUGCCCUCCACUCCCUCCAUCACCGAGGUUUCUACGGAGCACCUGCUAAGGGCGGAGCCUCAGGCUAGGGGAUGCAUACAGGAGAAAUACACAGCCCCCAAAAUGAGGGGCUCUCACUCCAGCUGCUUUUCCACCGCCUCAUGACCACUACUCUUGACCCUUUUCCUCAUGCCUUUCCAGAACAUGUACUGUCUGCACCAUGACCGGUGGCCUUUGAGCUCGUCAGUCUCAUGUUCUGUCUGCUCCACCUGGAUGGGUCUUGGCUUCCUGAUAAGAUUGUCUGGUCCUGGGUAUAACAGGACUGGAAACCCUUUCUCCUGGCUCCACACAGCAAGCCUGGCUUUGCACGCAACGCCUCCUGGGUGCCCGAGAACGACUUGUUGAGCUGAAUUAAACUGAUCACGAUUGAGUCUCUGUCACAAGCCAUCCUGUGCAGCAAUUUCUCCCUCCAAUUCCUGUUUACAUCGCAACCUGUCCUCAGAGGAACUCCACUGGAUUCUAUUGGCACUGCAGUCCAGGCGGGAAAGAGGGCAGCAGAGUGACCCAUCUACAUGUCUUCAUUUCACCACUGUGGAGAAACCCGCCUCCUGCCCUUGUCUUCCUCCUCCCCCCGCCCAGAUGACUUAAAGAACCUAAUCACCAUCUUCUGGGUCCCCCCUGCCACCGUCCAGCCCCUCACCGAAAGCGCCUACCACCAUGAAUACGGAACCACAGCUCAGAUGUUUCAAGUUCAACAGCUAAAGAAAACGAGCCAUUGACUCAUUUUUCCUUGAUUCAGAGAACUGCGCGCUCCCUCCGGCAGUACCGACAUCCCUUAAGUGGGCCUCUCCCAGAGCCAGGGCCGCCCAAGGGGACUCCUGCUUCCUACCCAACUGAAUGGUGGACCAUAAAUAAGUUACAUAUCCUUGAUGUGUGACCUUGAGCGACUUCAUUGCUUCACUGCUCUGGGCUUGGAAUCCUGCAGCCACAGAGAAGGGGCUGCUAAUCGGCAGGCUCUCCAAAGGCCACUGAGCUCACACACUCUGUGCCUCUCCAAAUGCCUUCUCAUUCCCGGGCUCCCUGUGCAAAGCAGCCCGCUCAAGAAGCAACGAGCACCCUGCCACCCGCCCAGCUCUGCCACUGCCUGUAUGAAAAGGGGAAAGAUUCUCUUGUGUUUCUUUGUAUUAAGUUCCAGGCUGAAAAAAGCUCGUGAAAACUGCUGGUUCACCCAAGAUGAAAUAAAACACUCCCAGGAAAAGGGCAAACGGGUCUCAGGGGCUCAUGGCUGGCCUAGGGAGAUAAAGCUAUUCUAGAAACUUCGACAGUUUGAUUUCAGCCACUCCUAGGGAUCCUUGAGCUAGUUAGCCUCUCAGAAUAGAGGAGGAAGUAGGUGACGAGCUGCCUCUGAAGAGCUGGUGUUAGCUUCGGUACUUUCUGGGGCCUUCCUUUGGAUGACACCCAGGCCAUCAGGUUCCCACUGGCCUUUCCUGGGAGAACUCACUUGCAAAGGAGAGGAAAAUGUGUUUAAACCACAAUUGCUCUUCUAAGGAGAAGGGCUCUUAAUAAACAGGAAACCUUCUGGAUCUGCUGAGCACCUUGACUGGUUGGGAGAUGCAGUGUGGGAAGAGAGGCUGGGGCAGAGUUGGACUGCUUACAUAAAUCAUCACCAGAACUGGAAUUAGUGGGAAAAACGCGGAAGGGAGGGGUGAGAAAAAGAGAGGUCGAUGAAGGAGGGGCCGGCAAACUGGGGAGCCCGGGGCGCAACACGGGGCUUGAUCUCAAGACCCGAAGAUCAUGACCUGAGUCAGAAGCAAGAGUCAGGUGCUUAACCUACUGCGCCACCUGGGGGACCCCGAGAUGGCGAGUCCCAGUGUGUAGCUGGGUCCUGUUGCACUCAAAGCCCCUCCAUCUUUCUCUCAGUUCUGCUCUAAAAUCUUCCCUACAAAUUCCCAUGCAUGAGCGGGAUUUUUUGUUUGUUUGUUUGUUUUUGUUUGUGUUGGCGGAACCCAAGGAUGGACUCCAUUUCAAGUACGAGUCAAACACUGAAGAGAAUAACAGUAAAAGCAGAGCCACAAAAUAAGAAAUCGGGAGGAAUUGGGAGCCACGGGCGGUGACAGGAAAACCACCCCCAAAGAAUGUGGAGAAAUCGCUGGACAUUCUCAGUGUAUUGAACCAGUGGCUGGAGCUCAUGUUUUCUAGCUGUCGAUGGGAAAAAAGACCCCAUGCAUGCGUGUGUGUGUGUGUGCGUGCAUGUGCGUGUGCGUGUGUGUGUGUACACCAGGGCUGUGUACAUACACACACGCACGCACACAUGCACACACACAUCUGGAAGAAACUAAAGCAAAGACUAAGGGAGAACGCUCGGCUGAAGCACAGAUACAGGGAGCCUGGCGAACAAUGAGCAGGUGUCUUCUGGAAUCUGAGGGCUCUUCCUUAAGGAAGCUGGGCAGGGAGAGUCUUGGCUGCCAGUGAAGAAACAAAAUGCCAUGCACCCUGUGGGCAAAGGGCUGUGGCAUGGCUCCGAGGGUUCUCUGUCACCAGGGAAAUGCACUGUGAGCUUUGAGCAGAUGAGGAAUGAACUUCUCUUGACGGUUCAACAAUUUUAUGUCGGAUAUUUGGAAACGUCUAAAAACCACGGUUCCUCAAAGAUGGAAGAUGGCUUUCCCCAAUCCAUACAGCCCCUGCUCAAGCCAUUAAAGAGUGUGGGGACAAACUGAACCGAGAAAGGGACAGAGUGAGGUCGGAGGGUGGAAAGAACCAAAUUCCUGGCAACCAAGAUACAGUCCCAGAGGAAAAUGGAUGCAAGCCACAAAGAGACCCUUUGAUAGACUUUUAGCAGGAAAGAAACAGAGGGAGUGAGGAGGAAUCCAGCACAACCUUAGACAGACCUGUCUGGGCCCUAAAGCGUCUACCUUGCCGGGUUUUAUGCUUUCCGUUCUAUCCAUGGUUUUCCACAUAUACUUCCUGGACACCAAACACAAGCCAGGGAAACAGAGAUGGAACAGAGAGACGAGGGCUUGCUCUCUGAGACUUAACAUGGACGACACGCAAGGGGGAAAGGACGUGAAUAAAUGAGCUCAUUUUAGGUACCAUGAAAUAGCCCAUGAGUAAAACGAAGCAAAGAAGUGUGAUGCAGAAUGCCUUGAUUCGGGGACUGCUUGAGAGGGAGGAGUCCAGAAAAGCCUUUCUGAGAGAAGCUUAUAUGAGCUGACCCAGGAGCCAUGGGAAGGAAACAGCCUGGGACGAUGCUGGAGAGAGGUACCCUGAGCCGAGGAAAGGAAGUGCAAAGGCCCUGGGGAGGGCGGCGGGGCUGGUGGGACUGGGAUGAGGGAGGGGGCUGACAGGAAGCCUCGGGGCAGGGCCUGUGGCCUCCUGAAAGCCACAGUGAGGAAGACCAAAUUGGGCAGCCGCCUGGUACACUGUGGUGGAGAGGAGUCUGUCCGCUGUGCUGGGGAGGCCAUUUCCCCCAGCCCAGAACCAGGAGCGAGGGAGGCCGCUCCAAGAGCCGUCCUUACCGCGGAGGGCCAGCAGGUGGCUCUCUGCGAAGAGGGCAGGCCACUCUUCCCCCCACCGCCGCUGACGCCUUUCCUGUUCUAAGGCAAGAAUUGCUGCAGACUUCCUAACAAGCCCUGGCCACAAAGAAGGGGUUUCGGGGACCUGCAUGCCCGUGGCCCCAGGAAGCCAAGGGCUGAAGAACUUGUCAGUGAGUCAGCUGAGUGCAUCAUGGAGCCACACGGCCCAGGCGCCUCUCAACAGCUCUGACAUGGGAUGGGGAGUUUUCCCCUUUAAGGAGCUUGCAAUUCUCCAGGUUGUGUAAUUGUCCCUGCACCCUGACCGACCGUCGGUAUCCCUCCUGGCCCAAGCUCUUGUUCUGAGACCAAGAAGAACUUCGUGUGUUUCUUGCCUGCGGGUUCCUCACUUUCUAAUGUGUU